rnacentral:rRNA from 1 species
CGAGUGGCGAACGGGUGAGUAAUACAUCGGAACGUGUCGAGAAGAGGGGGAUAACCACCCGAAAGGGUGGCUAAUACCGCAUAAAUUCUGAGGAAGAAAGCUGGGGACCUAGGAAUAGGCCUAGCGCUUUUUGAGCGGCCGAUGUCGGAUUAGCUAGUUGGUGAGGUAAAGGCUCACCAAGGCGAAGAUCUGUAGCGGGUCUGAGAGGAUGAUCCGCCACACUUGGACUGAGACACGGCCCAG